AAAAGCUGCACACACUGUUCGUAAACACGCGGCACAUGGAGGCGUGAACGAUACUUACAUGAUUGCGCUCCUUGCACACACCGCACACAAACACACACAAACACACACUCACAGCGACAGUUGAGGUUAGUGUUUGGUUGACAGCAAUGUAGUUUGCCUCUGGGUUGACACAGACACUCUGGUUCUCAGCCCUGGGUCAGCACCCUGGCAUCCAGCCAAUAGAAAUAGGGCAGUGAAACUGUGCCCCAAUCAGCAGAGAAAAUAUCCUGUGACAAGACAGAGCAAGAGGAGUAAACCUAUCAGGGAUUGAGUUAGGAGGCAUUUAAGGUGAGGUGUGCUGUGCUGUUGAUCUUGUCUGUCAAUGACCGGUGAGCCAAUAUUACCUCAGGGCUGGCAGUUUGAAGUAAACUGCGAUUUGUCUUCCUUGUGAAUACAAUUGAGAAAUGUGCAUUGCUGGCACAACUGUUCUUUGUAAUAGACUCAAGCUAAGCCUGUAUACAGCUUUAUGAGGUGGCGUACUGGAGGUAAAGGUUCGUAUCCAGUUCUUUAUGACAGGUGUGUUGGACUGGGAGAGCAGGGGGAACGGCCCCCGUGCCCUUCCACCCAAAGCCCAAGGCUGUAGUUAAUGGUAGCACACAAUAAAGUGUGUGUUAGUGCCUAGUCCGAGCUCACGCACGUAAAUACUGUAUAGUAACAGAGUAUACUUGCUUGAAUCCCAAUCCUGGAGCCCUGAUUCCACAGUUUGUCUCUGUUCAGUCCUUCACAUGCUGAAACAAGUGUUUGGGGUAUGUGGCCUUGCUCUCCUCUCAUCCACAGCCAUCAUGAUGGGAACCACUAAAUAUAGAGACCUCCGGGGUGAUUAUCCCAGCCUGUUAUCUCUCUGCCUGAGGCCUGUGCUGUUACACUCUAUUGUUCUCCUCCUCUUGUGUAUGACAGCUUUACGGGCGCGUAGGCCCAAUUUAGGCCUCUCAGUGGAGUGGAUUUCAACAUAUUCCUAAUAUCUAGCCUUAAAGCUGCAAUGGGUAACAUUCCAAAAUAAAUGUGAAUGUGAGAAACCACACCCCAUUCGUCCUUUCCUCCAGCUCAAGUUUGAUUGACUAGGUGGAAGGCCCGCUUUGCCAAAGGCAAUUGGCUGGUAAAGGAUUGCUGGAACACAAUUGGCUGUAAAGUAGCGUGACUCCAAAAUUAGAAAUUGACAUUCCGCUGGCCCUGAGCUGUCUGUGUUGCUAAACAACUCUCAGAGGUCCUUAUAAGCUUACACAACAUGUUUAAAGGGGAAAAGGAUUAAAAAUAACGACAAAAAACGUAAUCAAAAAACAAAACAUGCACAUGUCUUUUGUUUGUUAAGCGUCUGAUGCGGAAUCUGUCUUCAAUAGGGUGUAGAAUGCCACCGUGUCUGAGUGGGGCAGGUCUAGUCCCAUUCACACACACGGAACGUUGUGCUACUUUCUCUGCUUUGUUACAGGGCAGUAAUAUGGAAAUGUCCGUCAGGGCCAGUUGAGUCUUUGAUUCAGAGCUGACCAAGCUGAACAGCAUUGUGGGAAGUGGUUUCCCGUCGGGUACAGCGAAGGAAGUCAUCCCGUCAGGAAAUGGAAAUCGGGCUUCCUGUCUUUGUUGAGCAGCCGUGCUCUUGGGAGGGAGGUGAUAGGUCUGUCGGAGGUGGAAAUGAUAAGAUGAUAAGACGUCUUUCUUCACAAACCCAAAGUCCCUGAACUCUCAGAAGACCAGUGACUUGAGGAGUUUGACGUCCAUCUGCGUGUGGCGGAUUUCUCUGAGAAGCUGCACUUUGUCACGACAGCUCCCCUAUGAAAAGCAAAUAACUGAAUGUGUCAAGUGUGACACCACAGUGUGACACUUCUGUCUCUAUGAGAUUGUUAAACUAAAUGUGUUUCCACUUUCCACCACAGACAUCUGCAGCAGAAUCGUCUAUGACCAAGAGAGGACGCUGACACCUACUGGUGGCUGAACUGAACUGAAAAAGAAUCUGUGAACAUCUGACCAUCACAUCUAAAUAUGAGUUUGUUCCAAAGCCAUGGGCAUUCAUAUGGAUGUGCCUCCCCCCAACAGUUGCCCACUCCUUUGGCAUUGUGUCUGUCGGUAUUUGCUGCCAUUCCGCCACAAAGAGACUAAACAACAAAUGCAAAAGUUAUUUAUAGCCAUUUAUAGCUUACAUUUAUUGUUUCAGCAUACUAGACUUUGACAGAACUUAUACGUUAUGAUUACAUUCAUAGUGCUUAAAUCAAUAAUUGGUUACAGUUGAAUAAAACAUGUUCAUAUAGGUAUCUAAUUAUGUGCAUAAUUAAGUUACAAUGAGAUUUCACCUAAUGUACUUGGCAUACAUAAUUUCAACAGUACAGCCUUAAUCAUAAGAAUUCCUAAGGAUACAGUAAUCACUCAUUAGGGUUAUAGUAAACAAAAAACCCCAAAACCCCCUUGAAGUUGUUUAAAUUUGGAAGCUGAUUAGGUACCUGGCUCACCACAUGUUUCCUCCUUGUAGUGUUGUAUAAGGGUGAUGCUUCCACCUGCCUGGCAAUCACACUGGCAACGUCCUGCUCUCCUGUCAGUAGUCUGCUUACACUCUCUGCCUCUGCGCAAUUCCCAUAGACAAACUGAUUAUCGGAAUUGGUCGUGUCUGUGGUCGUCAGACCAAACAGGUUCCUACAGGAUUUGCAGGGAGGUAUAUCCUCUCCAUUCCUGAGGCUGUAAGCACGACAACUGACAGAGUCAGGGAGUUCAAAGGUGCCUUUAAAAUCAUUUCUCCUGCUUUUUCCUGGGAAGUAGGACAUCACAGCAUCGGACACAGAUUUGUGCCAGGUAUGUAGACAGGACACCGCUAUCAUGAUUUUACCUGCGGUCCGUCCUGUGGAGGACAUGGACGCUCCGUAGUACUUUUUUCCUUUCAGGUACUGAGAGA